rnacentral:rRNA from 1 species
UACGUAGGGUGCGAGCGUUGUCCGGAAUUAUUGGGCGUAAAGAGCUUGUAGGCGGUUUGUCGCGUCUGCUGUGAAAAUCCGGGGCUCAACCCCGGACUUGCAGUGGGUACGGGCAGACUAGAGUGCGGUAGGGGAGAAUGGAAUUCCUGGUGUAGCGGUGGAAUGCGCAGAUAUCAGGAGGAACACCGAUGGCGAAGGCAGGUCACUGGGCCGCAACUGACGCUGAGGAGCGAAAGCAUGGGGAGCGAACAGG